rnacentral:rRNA from 1 species
AGAGUUUGAUCCUGGCUCAGGACGAACGCUGACGGUGUGCUUUAGACAUGCAAGUCGAACGAGAAAGCCCUUCGGGGUGAGUAAAGUGGCGAACGGGUGCGUAACACGUGGGCAACCUGCCCCUCACAGGGGGACAACCGGGGGAAACUCCGGCUAAUACCCCGUAAGCUCUACAUAUCGCAUGGUAAGUAGAGGAAAGGUAGCUUCGGCCAUCCGGUGAGGGAUGGGCCCGCGGUCCAUUAGCUAGUUGGUGGGGUAACGGCCCACCAAGGCGACGAUGGAUAGCUGGUCUGAGAGGAUGAUCAGCCACACUGGGACUGAGACACGGCCCAGACUCCUACGGGAGGCAGCAGUCGGGAAUCUUGCGCAAUGGGCGAAAGCCUGACGCAGCAACACCGUGUGAGCGAGGAAGGCCUUCGGGUCGUAAAGCUCUGUUGUUGGGGACGAAGGGCGAAGGGUUAAUAGCCCCUAGCCUGACGGUACCCUUCGAGGAAGCCCCGGCUAACUACGUG